AUGACGUCUGAAGAGACAUGCUUUUUUUUUCGUGUUAUUUUGAAAGAUCCUUCCAAGGGUUACCUCCAGAUACAGAAUGGAGAAGACUUAGCAGAGAGAGUGAUAUUUGCGACUUUGGAAAAGUGGCGAUUUGCUGCAGAUUGGAAGAAGAAUUGGGAAAUUGUCACAUAUGGGUCAUCGAAAAAACAGAAAAGUAAGUUGAUGGAUGGGAGUGGUGAUGAAGGUUUGAAGGCCAAGAGUCAGGAAGCAGUUGUUACUUAA